rnacentral:lncRNA from 1 species
CCUGAGCACAGGCCCUCAGCCAUCUCUCACCAAUUUGCAGAAGGUGUCCCCAUAAUCGACCUCUCUCCUCUCUUGUCGCCCGAUUCCAAGAAAUCGAACCUUCUCUCUAUAGAAUUUAUAGAUCCUGCGACUCUCUCAACUUUGGUGGAUAAAAUCAAACAUGGGUGCAAAGACUGGGGUUUCUUCCAAGUCAUAAACCAUGGGGUUCCAAUAGAGCUUAGAAGAGCUGUAGAGGAAGUGUCUAUCAAAUUCUUUGGAUUUCCAUUGCCGGAGAAGCGAAAAGUUCGGCGAGAUGAGGAGAAUACAAUGGGGUAUUAUGAUGAGGAGAAUACAAAGAAUGUGAGAGAUUGGAAAGAGGUAUUUGAUUUCUCGGUGAGGAGCCCCAUUGUAAUUCCGGAGCUUGAGGGCGACAGCAUAAAAAGUGUCACCACCUUGGCGAACCAGUGGCCGGAGAAUCUGCCAGAAAUGAGGCAUGGAGUGUUUGAAUUUUGCUCUUUUGUUAUAGAUUAUUAGGCGUACUUUGACUGGAAUUUUCCCAAAAUGACAAAAUUUUGGUUAGAAAUUGUCUAUAGUUUUGGAAAACUAUGGUUAAUCUUGGAAUUUCACUAUCUUUAACUAAGAUUUGCUCAAAAAACUAGCAAAAUGGCCAUUUCUAGUCUGUCCUUCACCAGUGUACAGAAAAUAGACUCGGCCAAGGUACUAGGGCCUUGGCCGAGUCCUCCCGAGUCAAGUGCAGGGCAGGCGCCUUUUGGCCAAAAAAAUAUAAAAAAAAUAAAAAAUAAUUAAACAUAUAGUAAAAGUAAAUUGAAACCUAAAAGACGAUUAAAAAUGUAGAGAAAAAAUGAUUGACUGAUCUACAAAUUGGGAUAUUAAAAAAAAAUAAAAAAAAAUAUAAAAGUUGUGAUUAUGGGAAAAGAAACACUCACCAAUCUUUACCAAAUUCAUCCUAUUCAUAUACAAAAAGAUUAUAAAACAAUCCAUUAUUUUUUCAUUUUUUAUUUGUUUUUAGAUUUGUUUUUUGAAUUUUUUUAUAUACGUGAGUUGUGCAACCAACUUAGGGAAACUCGUCUUGUCCCACUGACUUAACCCCCCCUCCCCCUGCUCUUAACAAACAAAGAAAUCUUGCCCAAGAAUAAUUUAGACACUAGUUUAAGUGGUUAUACUUUUGGCAGGUAGGUUGAAUCUUUACAGUCUGUUAAGAAACUCCCUUUUUUUUUCCUCUGAAGGUUGUUAUGGAACUCAUUUUUGUAGAUACAUUCAAUUUGGUACACCACUUUGACAAGAUCAAUGAAAUGCGAAAAAUAAAUUAAGAAAAAAAAACAAAAUUUGCAAAAAAUCCUUAAGAAUAGUUUGCCCUCUCUCUUUAUUUAUUUUUAGAUGUAUAUAGUUUUAUGGAGUUGGAUUAGAAAAUUAAGAGAGUAACCCUUUUUAAUCUCUAACCCUAUCACUUGAUAGGAUAGGGGUCCAAUGAUCUCAACAUACAUCCUGCAUUAAGAUUGUAGGCAUAAAUCAUACAUGACUAUUCUCCUAUAAGGAAUACAUUUUGCUUAAAGAUCAUUCUCUUACACAAUUGUUCUUUAGUGAAUGACCUAUCUUGUCAUAAAUUUGACUGAGUUUGGAUCAUCUUCAUCAUUUGUGCUUGGGAACCAACAUUUGAGAUUGAUGUCCACAAUUUAUGUAGAAUCAAGUCUCAAAGGAUCAUUGCCCUAUUAUUUAAAGAGUGAGAUUUGUAGAACGCCGCAACCUUAAACAAUCAAAGUACUUGAACAAACAAAGUAAGGUGCACUUUCAAACUUUGUUAUAAGAUACAAUUUUGGUGUCAAAAAUUUUUAGGAUGGCCCGAGAAUUUAUUUUUAUCUCUAAUUAUGAAAUUUUAAACUUCAAAAAUGGUUCAAACCAAACAAAUCUAUAAAUGUAUGAAAGUCACCUCUAUUAAUUCUACUAUGGUGUCAACCUUAUACAAACUUUUUCCUGAUUUAAAAAGAACACAUUUUCAAGCUCACAAAAUCUAGUGCACUAAUAAACCUUUAACUUGUGUGUUGAAGGAGCGUAUGCAAAGCAUAUGCACAGGCCACUCAGAAGCUUGCAGUACGAUUGCUAGAGCUCAUUUCAUUGAGCUUAGGAUUGCCAGUCUCACGCUUGAAUGCUUUUUUCAAGGACCAGACAAGUUUUAUAAGGUUGAAUCACUACCCUCCAUGCCCAUCUCCAAAUGAGGCACUAGGAGUGGGAAGACAUAAAGAUUUUGGAGCCCUAACUGUGCUCGCACAGGACGACGUUGGUGGUCUCGAGGUGAAGCGCAAGGAUGGUGAGUGGGUCGCUGUGAAGCCGGUGCCAAAUUCUUAUAUAAUCAAUAUAGGGGAUAUAAUUCAGGUAUGUGAAAAGAUAAAGAACACUAGUUCAUUGAUUUCUUUUCUCUAACUUUGGGUGAACAUUUUCUUGAAAUUCAAGCUCAGAAUUGUGAGAAAGCAUAUAGGAUUGAUUGUUUUCGUUUAGCAUGUUUUACUUCAUGGUGCAUAUGCGUUAAGCAGCACUGAUGUGGAUAAUGGAUAAGUAAAGGUGUGUCACUCCUUAGGGCUGAGAAUUUACCCAGUUCAGAUCCUAAACCUGAAUUUUGGAUCCUAUUCAGAUCUGGAUAUGGAUCCAAGAUUUGGAUCUGAAAUUCGGAUUUGGAUCUAAAAUUUGGAUCCAAAUGACUAUUCGGAUCAAAUAUGGGUAAAUGUGAAUCCAAUAUGGUCAUUAAAAUAGUAUAUAUUAAUCUUAUAGUUAUAUAUUUAUUAAUUUAUAUAUAGUAUUUUUAACUUUCAAAGACCUUAUCCCCAUUAUGGAUCGGAUUGUGGAUUUGGAUCCUAUAGAUAGUUUUUCGAUCCGGAUCUUGAUUUGGAUCUGAUCAUAUUCAAAUCCUAUGUAUACUUUUUUGAUCUAGAUCUGGAUCUGGGUUGCCCCAGACCCGAUCCGAAAAAUUCCUACCCGAUCAUUCAUCAGCUCGAAGUUCCAAUUACUAUCAUAAUAUACUUUCCCUGUUUUUUCCUUGGGGUAGCAACUGGUUCUAGCCACAACCUCAAAGUUGCAGCAACAAGCAUCUUCGAGUUGAGCUAUGGGAUCAAAACCUUUGCAUUUAUAAUUUGAUGCAUUAACUACGAUGGAAACAUAAAAAUGUAUUUGUUUCCUUGUAACUCUCCAUUCUUGAAAUUUAAUAUGAUUCCCAUUGAUGAAAAUUUAUUCUAACAAAUAAAGAAGGUACUCAAGAAAUAUCUAUUGGUCAUAUAAGAAAUUAAUCAAGCUAAACCUAGAUAAAACUGAAUUUUCAUUAUUUGUUCUCAUCCAUUAUUUGCCUUUAACAUUUUGUAGGUGUGGAGCAAUGAUGAGUACGAGAGUGCGGAGCACAGAGUGGUAGUGAACUCCAAGAGGGAGAGGUUUUCAAUGCCCUUCUUUUACAUACCUUCUGCUUGUGAGUUCAUAGAGCCACUUGAAGAAAAGAUGUCUGAGAAAAAUCCCCCAAACUAUUUACCAUACAAUUGGGGUCACUUUUAUAUUAGCAGAAAACUUAGCAAUUUCAAGAAGAGGAACACUGAAAACCUUCAGAUACAGCACUUUAGAGCAUCCAAGCUGAAUGCUUAGGGGGUUUGAAACUUUAGGAAGUAAUCAAAUAUGUAAUGAAAUAAUAGGCCUGUAAAGAGUCUUUGAAGUAGUCAUACAAUUUAAUAUAUGACUUAUACUGUGAAAUGUAAGCUUGGAACACUAUGAUUUUAUUCUAUGUAGAUAUAGUGCCAUGCUUGGGCUAUCUAGACAUGUUUGCUUUUGUUGGUCUACUUUUUUGUAGGUUUAAGGUUUUAUAUUUAAUUUCCAACCUUUUAAAAGGAACAAUUAAGGUUGUUUAUUAGGAACACUGAAUAGUGCUUGUUUGUAAUCUUGAACAAGUAGAGGUAAUUAUUGACACUCAGCCCUUGAAAUGCUCCUGAUUGUCUAGUUCUCCCAACUCUGAAUAGGUAGUUCUACAAACUUUUUAAGAUUUUUUUAAGGAGGUAUCUGCGUGAUAUGAAAAUAAAAAGCAACUCUUUUUAUGUUAAUUUUAAUAAUUUAACUUUUUAAUGAUUUUGUAAGGUGUUUUAACCCCUUAAAUGAUAUUUUUUCCUUAUAUGAUAUUUUCACUUAAAAAAAGAGGCGACCCGAAGAUCCUUUUUGCCGAUAUUUUGGAUCAAUCUUAUUGAAUUCAAAUACUGGAUCACAUUUUCGUGCCAAAAAAAGUACAUUUCGAAACACUAGAUCAUAUUUUGAAAUGGCUCCUUUUUGAGCCAUUUCAGUUUCGUGAAAUUGUAAAAGGAAUGUUUAAUUAAAACGAUUAAAAUAUUUUUUUACAAACUUUUGAAUUGGUUUUGAAUCAUAGUACAAUUUAAAUAAGUUUUGAAUCAAUUCGAACCGGUCACUCCUAGUUGGGAAUUUUAUUAGAAAUCCAAUUUGAAUUUAAACAAUGAACAGGCAACCUAAGCAUAUACAACGAAAAAACCAUUAUAGAAAUCUGCUGACAAUGAACAAACUUCCUAAAAACAUCUGAAGAGAAAACAUAAUAAGAAACUGAACAAUGAAAUAUCAGCCUAGGCAUAUCUGAAGAAACUAUAAUAGCAACUCAAGCUGCACAUAAAAGAGUACAAACUAUCAUCGGGACAGGGGAAACAAAACGAAGCCCAUAGUUGAACCUCGCUGCUGGGUUUCACAAAUAACUUUAGCCUCAUCUUUCGCAGCAUAGUCCACGGUUAGAUGUCAGUCAUUUCAAAUUGUUUUUCUAAAUGAAUAAAGAAGUGAUGACUAUUUUCAGGUGAAGGAUCCGUGAGUGCAGAAGUUUUUCAAGGUUGAUGGAAAGUAUGGUAUGAUCCAUUUCGUUAAUGUAACGGCACAACCGUCAUCACCAUCCCAUUAAUAAGUUGGACGAUGAUGGAGGGAGAGCAGGUGCACCACCAGACAUGCCAUUGAUUCAAAUAUCACUUCCCAUUUUUCAUUCAUCACCAUCCAACCCACUGAUUGGGUGGUGAUAACCCAUAUGACAUGGUCCUGCAGACCAUACUUAUCAUACUGUAUUUCUCAUAGUUAUUCAUACUAAACACAUAAUAAGCCAGUGAAUCAUCGAGAAUGAUUUUCAAAACAGCACGUAGUAUGCUUUCUUGCGCAGCAGAAGUCUAAGGUAUUUUCAAACCUUGAACUCUAUUUUUUUCUCAUGUCCAUGCAUUUUGAUGUCGAGAUGAUAAAUUUGAUGAUAUUUGGACACCAAAAUAAAUUCUUCUAGUGAAAGUUUUGAGGUAGGCUUUAAUUUGAUUGUUUAGAGCGUAGGCUCUAUAUAAACUUUUCCUUUUUGUUAAAAGCCUUCGGGACUCCCAAUUGUGUGUUUGAUGAGACAUUGAGAGUAUGAGGCACCUAUAGUAAAUGUUCAAUGGCCCAGAUUGUCUAUAGCUGCAGUAAACGUUCAAUGGUCUAGAUUGAAUAUGGGCUGAUUUAAAGGUCACGAUUGUAUUUUGUAUUUUAAUUUAAUUUUUUUUAUUUAAAAAUUCAAUUCAUUAGAAAUUUUGAGUGUGUACUCUAAAAAAUUAGGCAAACCUAAUAAAAAUGUUUAAUAAAUAAUUAAAAAAAAAAAUUAACCAAAAUACCUAUGAAAGUUGUAAGGGAAUUUUGAUCAAUUUAUUUUUUACGAAUAAUAUUUUUAAUAUUUUUAUUAGAUGCACCUUGAUGUGAAGAACAGAAACUCCAAAUUUCAAAUCAUUAAAAUUUAUAAAAAAUAUAUUAAAAUUUAAAUAUAAAAUAAACAUGUGACUAUCAAAUCUAUCUAUAUUCAAUCCGAAUCGUUGAACUUAUGCUAUUGAGCUGUUUUCUCGUGACAAUAUUUCUUGCUUUUUAGGGUGGUAAUGGCUAGGGCAGCUUGGGUUGGCCUGGUCAGUCCAGCCCUACAAAAUUGGGGUCUGGGCUAUAAAAUGUAGUCUGAGGGCCAGGGCCAGGGCUGGGCAACUAUAGUCUAAGGGUAGGGCUGCGCCGGGCCUGGGUCAAUGCUCCCCCGUUAGGACUGACACCUCAAAAGAUGGCCUUCAUCAGGCCUCUUUGACCGGUUCAGGACCUUGCCAGGCUGGGUCAGAGUAGGCCCAUUGUGUAUUUGGUGUAAUUGCGUCUGAGCGCGGAUAAGAUACUCCUGCGAAUCACGCUGUAGAUUUACUCUCGUUUUUCUUCAGCGGCGGUUUGUGGCAUGGUAGGUCUCUCUACCUAAGCUCUAACGCAUAGCAAGCAGGCAGGUAGGCAGGCCAUGCGGCAUCGCAGGUCUCUCUAUAAAACAGUGCAGUUGCGUGUGAGCAUUUGCGCCCAUGUGUUCUUCUGAUCUAUCAUGGCUAUGCAACCUCUUCAAAGACUCAAUCACGGAACUUACCGUGAGCUCUUUCUGCAAAUUUCGCCACUGUCUCUGUUUUCCUCUCUGAGCCUUAAGAAUUGCAAUUUUUAUAACUAUAUCGUUUUCUUCAAUUAUUUUUCAGGAUUGUGGUCCCAUUAUCCUAACUGAGGAGAGAGAAAUGGAUACAUUGAUACGGUUAUCACAGGUAUUGUCACUUCUUAUCUCUUUUCAGUUCUUAUUGUUUUUUGCCAUUAUUAGUUUUCACAUCCAAUUGGGUAAAAAUUAGGGUUUUCUUCUUAGCUAUUUUAACUAAAGAGGAGUUUGAUCUAGGUUUCCCAGCUGAUUCGGCAAAGAAUGGAUUCCGUUAAACUCAAAAAAGCAAUUGAACAAGUAAAGAAUGAAUAUAUAUGUUUUUAUAGUUUUAAGAUGUUAUGUUUCACUCAUCCAUACUUUAAUCCAAUGCUAUCCCAAGAGUACAAUACUUGUAGAUAUGUUUUCUAUACAUAAGCUAACCAUAUUUAGAAGCUUUGAAAAAAAUGGGUGAAAACUUCAAAAGAUUUUAAGCAUGUUUUAUCUCAUUAAAGAAAAUAAUUUUUUAAGCAUAUUUUAGAAUUGGUGAAUGAUUUUUUGUUUAUGAUGUUGAGAAACAUGCUUUCAGAAUGGCCAUUCUCUGCUCUGUCGCUUAGAUUUUGAUAGAUAUGUGUGUAUUUGAAUAUGGAUUGACCUUUCUUGUGAUGGAACUUUUUAUCUUUUUGUUUUUGGAGAAAAAUCCUUGUGUAAGUGGCUUAUAUGAAGAAUCCUCGGUAUACUUGAGGAUAUUAUUGUAUCUGUAGGAAUAUUUUAUUGUUGGUGGGUUCCGUAUGUUUGAGAUCUGCAUGUUAUUUUAAUUCUAUGUCAGGCAUACAUAUUUUGGUUUUGUCUGCAUAAUUAUGAACAUAGAAGUUGGAAUUAAAUUCCUGUUCUUCCUUGUAGGGAGUUUUGAUGAAUGUGGUGUGUGAAGAUAAAAGUGAUAGGACAUUCCAAGCCUCCUCUCCAAUGGGUCAUGACUGCCUGAAUAUCAUCAUGCCUACCCUUGUAAGGGAAAUUUUUGUGUUUUGGUUGAUAGGGACAUUUUAACAUGAAUAAUGAGCACCUUUAUGCUUUGGCAAUUUGCGAUAGUAAUUGCCUUUUCUCCUUCGUGUGUGUGUGAUAAUAUGUAGUGGCUUGCUUGUCUGGGUUAAAUGAGCCCCUAUAACAAAAUCAAGGAAAAUACCUUGGGUUUCUGCUGCGCAAGAAAGCAUACUACGUGCUGUUUUGGAAAUCAUUCUUGAUGAUUCACUGGCUUAUUAUGUGUUUAGUAUGAAUAACUAUGAGAAAUAUAGUAUGAUAAGUAUGGUCUGCAGGACCAUGUCAUAUGGGUUAUCACCACCCAAUCGGUGGGUUGGAUGGUGAUGAAUGAAAAAUGGGAAGUGAUAUUUGAAUCGAUGGCAUGUCUGGUGGUGCACCUGCUCUCCCUCCAUCAUCGUCCAACCUAUUAAUGGGAUGGUGAUGACGGUUGUGCCGUUACAUUAACGAAAUGGAUCAUACCAUACUUUCCAUCAACCUUGAAAAACUUCUGCACUCACGGAUCCUUCACCUGAAAAUAGUCAUCACUUCUUUAUUCUUUUAGAAAAACAAUUUGAAAUGACUGACAUCUAACCGUGGACUAUGCUGCGAAAGAUGAGGCUAAAGUUAUUUGUCAAACCCAGCAGCGAGGUUCAACUAUGGGCUUCGUUUUGUUUCCCCUGUCCCAAUGAUAGUUUGUACUCUUUUAUGUGCAGCUUGAGUUGCUAUUAUAGUUUCUUCAGAUAUGCCUAGGCUGAUAUUUCAUUGUUCAGUUUCUUAUUAUGUUUUCUCUUCAGAUGUUUUUAGGAAGUUUGUUCAUUGUCAGCAGAUUUCUAUGAUGGUUUUUUCUUUCUAUAUGCUUAGGAUGCCUGUUCAUUGUUUAAAUUCUCAGUAAUUUUCCGCCAAACAGGUGGUCUUCUUAACGUUUGCAAGUCAGUUUGUUCGUCAUUCAGCUGGGAAAGUUUUUGUGGUUCUUUCCAACUUCCUUGGGAAAUAUGUAUGUGCCUAAAUCUUUCUGUUUAAAUAUUUUGGCCAAUUGAAUUUGCUAUGCUUCAUUUUUAAUUUUGAAACCGUGAAAAUUUUGCAGGGAAACAAAUGGGAGAAAUUAAUAUAUUUUCUAUGGAGUAGCUUAGAAGCAGCAAUAUUUAGCAUUGAUUCUUCAUUUCCUCUAAUAAUUGGAGAUGACCAGUUCAAUCACAUCGCCACCAAAACCUCAGAGGUGGCAUUUGGGAACGUCCAUUCUGAUUGUCAUAAUAAAAGUUUUGCUUCUUUCACAACCUCAAGUUCUGCUUCUUUGUUUUUAUAAAUUCAAAUUUGAUAAAUAAAAUAUCCUGAGAUUCAAGAAAAUUCAAAUAACAAUUCUAAAAUUAUAUAUUAUUAAAAUAAACAAAAUUAAAUACUUUGAUGGGAAAAUGAUCCAUAUGGUCUAGAAAUAAAUAUCCACUAGGGCACUCCAUGUCCAAUUGCGCACUAUGAACCACACAUGCUUUCUCAAACCGACCCAGCGUUGCCCAUGACCCACAGUCCAUGUCGUGGAUCAUUAGUGAGUCACCAAAGUCUAGCCAAUGGGCAAGGGGUCGUAGUCCCAGUAUAUAGAUUCCAGGUCCCCCCUGGAGACAAAACCAAGGUCAUCUUGAUCUGAUGCGAUCCAUUGCUCGGUGGUGCACAGGGGGUAUCUCUCGCAUAUGCACACGCUUUAGGUAGUUCGUUUUCUCGAAAACGGCUAGCAAUGUGCAUGCCGUGUGAUGGUACAAAUGAUAAAGCUUUGGCCCUGUCUUUGAAAGCCUCCAUCAAACACAAGGGUCACACAGUCCCUCGGUUCGCUCUUCCGGGCAUACUCUAACCUCAUCAAGGGAUAAUCCAUCUAAUCCUCAUCUGUUUGUUUCUCUAUGCCUAGGUAAUAUGGGUUUUCCUUAACCAGACUGACCUAACACGUCAAGCACGGGCCAGUAUUAGCAAAUAACGUUUGUUUAGUAUGGUCCACAUGGGACCACACUCCUAUUGAGUUCAUGUUCCACUAUAUUUUCUUUUUACAAGCACUCGUAAGGCCUUUAAUGGCCACACGCACCCAAUAAUUUCUACAUAUGCGGGCUUGGCCGCAUAGAAACCGGAUCCUUUCUUUAUUUACUCAUGCUUGUAGUGAUGAUUGCUUCAUUGGGCAUGCAUGUGCUGAUUCUUGGAAUGAUGAUCAUACUUAUGGCCUUUAUAUGUAUUCAUGCAGUUACUAUGAUGUUUACAUAGAUACAGCUAAUGCACAUUGUGAAAUGGUUUCAACACGAAUGUGCAAAUAGAUUAUUGAUGAGAUGACUAUCUUCAUUCCAGUGCCAAAGUUUCCCAUGAAUUCUUAUGUGGUUAUAGACUGUUCAUGACAUGGUCAGUUGUCUCGUGUUGCAUGUCAGAGUUCUCUUGCAAGAUGGCUAAAAAUUGGCAUUAUGAAAUUAAAUUAAUAAACCAAAAAUAUUAGAUAGAAUUGGAAAAUUACAAAAGUACAAAAACAAGAAUCGGAUAACUGGAACUUUGUUUGAAAGAGUAGUACUUACUGAAACUAAUCAAAUGAAAACUUUUGGAGUUAGAUGUGUUGUUAUAGUGGGAAGCUGGUUCAUGAACUAAGUGCAGCAAAAAAAAAAAAGAUUCUGAAGUAUACCUGUGAAAUUUACGGCGAAGUCUCUCUCAAGUGAGCCACAAUAUUCAGAAGGGGUUCGCAGUUUGUGCUACCCGUUUAACCAGAUUUUGAUUUUCUGGAAUUGUGGUGUAACAAAUCCCUUGUUAUAUAUGAUUUGAUAUUUUCCCAAUUCUUUCUAUCUUGGUAAAAUCAAAUUUUCUCUUUCUUUCUCUUCUGCUCUUGCCUUUAAUAUAGUUCAUCCUCUGAGCAUUCAAAUGCUUUGUUCUGCUGUAUUUUUUUAAAUUAUUUAUUAAUUCUUGGUACAGUUGAGUUAACAUCCGUAUUAUAACCUGGUUAUGUUGCAGAUACGAUAUGAUCACCUCCUGCUUCUUGAUUACCUUAUCUCAAAAGAUAUAGGAGUUCUAUGUUUGCAAUACCUUCUAAGGUACAUUACAACUGUUAGAUAUUACAAUCGAUUGUCUAUAUCAGUCUGUAGGCUUUAUGAGUGAAAAUUGGUCCAUAUGUCUUGAGAUUGAUAAAGUUUCCAAACUUUAUUAGUCUAUGUAUUCUACAGUUUAUCAGUGAUGGAGACAUUGGAGCCUGAUAAUGUAGUCAAGUCUUGUUUUGCCUGGUCCUACCCUCUCUUUUUUACCAUCCAUUUCCAUUGAUGGUGAUGAUAGAAUGACGGCAGUCCAUUGGAUUAUAGUUUAUGUUUUUUCCUUUUUGAAUAUCUUCACCUCUGCAUAAUGUGUUCUCUCCCUGAUAUAGAAUUCUCUCUGGGGAACACUGAUAGGGAAUUGACAUUCUUUGUGUAAUUUCUUUAUGCUCUUCAAUAAAAUUCUGAUUACUAUAAGAAAUUAAUUUACUUUGCAGGGGCACAAUAAAAGGGAUAUAAUUUAUUGAUUAAGGAAUUUCUAAUUGCUGCUGUUUAUCCUUUUUAGAUGUUUGCGGCUAGUUUGUAACUCAUGGCCUAUAUUUAAAGGAUUUUCAAUGCCUAAUCAUGAGAUGAAUCGGUUAUGUUGCAAGAGAAGAACGGUCUCAGUGGAUGGACGUGAUUUUGUGGGGAAGGUACAGCCUCUGUCCUCUUCAGUUGAAGGAAUUAGUGCUACACAGCCACCACGAACAGGUCAUAAAAAGAGGAAAGGGAAGACUUCAGGAGAGUCGACUUUUGAAAAUGCGGAAGAAUGUUUGCUGUCUUUGAAGUAUGCUCUGGAGAAUCUUCCCAAAAAGAACUUGUUCCCUUAUAACCCAACUGCUUUAUUGAGAAGGUAUAAGCUUUAUGUUUUCUUUCUCAUGUAGUUACUGCUUUGUCUUACCUUUCUUCUCUCUACUGUUAGGCUUCAAAUUUUGAUUUUCUCAAGUGCUGUAGCGACUGUUUUAUUGAUUUAUGAGAAAUUCACGCAUAUAUCCCCCAUCAUAUCCAUUAUUAAAAACAUCUCCCCCAAUUUUCGUUUGUUACAUGCUUGUCCUUUUUUCCCUCUUUUUUUUUAAUUCCCAAUUUGCCGCCAUUUUAGAUCUUCAAGAUCUGAAGUCACAAAUUCAUUUUAUGAAUUCGGAUAUUGACGUCCUGAAGUCGGGGCCCCAUAUACCCCAUUGCACCGUAAUUGUUUUUUUUCUCCCUCCCUCUGUUUGCCCACCACUUUGGAUCUCAAAGAUCCGAAAUCACCGUGAGUCGAAAAUGGGCUGCUGACCUUAGGAUUCAAAUGAGAAGGCCCUUCCCUCGGGUCUAAUGCCCGUUUAUUUGGGUGAUUGCUCUCCAUAUGAGGGCAAGAUAGGAGGGGCACCCCUUCUUUCUUGAGGAAGUCAAUGGAAAGUUUGACCAAAUGAGAUCAGAUCGGGAUCAAUUGUUGACUUUGGAUCUUGAAGAUCCAAUGUAUAUUGGACAUGAUUUUGGAUCUUGAAUAUCUAAAGUCAUGAAUAUGUGACAAUGUCUUUGGAUCAUGAAAAUUCAAAGUGAUGAAUGUGGGGCAUGACUUUGAAUCCAAAGUCAUAGGUGACUUCGGAUCUUCAAGAUGAAGACCAAAGUCAAAAACUGGUCUAAUUACUUUAGGAUGUUGAUGAUUUGAAGUCAUGGCAAUUUGAAAAGGUAUAAAUUAUAAAAGACAAAAAUUGGGGGGAUUUUUUCAAUAAUGGAAAUUGUGGGGGAUAUUAGCAUAAAUUUCUCUUUUUUUUUUUAUUUCUUUAUUCGUUUGAUAGCAUGGGAUUUUAGUCCUUGAGGAAAUUAGAGGGAUAUGAGAAGAAAACCCCGAUCUGAACUUUGAUAUCUGAACUUUGAUGUAAGAUCCUUGUGGAACCACUCUCAGAAGGGAUUGGGCCAUUGGGGCUUAUUAAGGAACAAUUAACUAGGGUGAGGGAGAUUAAUUCUUGUAACCACCAAGGACACAUGACUCCUAGGUGGAAGCCACCGCUUUCUUGAUGGGCCCUUGUGUUCAAUAAAAUCGAACCAUGGAUGGUGAUGGCAAGUAGGACCAACACAGAGGACAUGACUCCAUUGUUGGGUCCUCAAACUCUCCAUCCCCCUUCCUCAUUCAAAUGGAUGGCUGUGAUGCCUCAGCUCGCCACAUGAUGGAUGUUUCCAUCAUCUAUUAAAUUGAUACUUCACCAUUUACUCCUCUUUAGUUUGAAUGCUUGCAUCCCUUACAGAUUGUAUGUAUUUUUAACCAUUCCUCUUUAUGAUAUGCAGUUUCACGAGAUUUCAGAAAUUCUGCAGUAACAAAGAGAGGGAAAGCAUCGAUUACAAAACCUAAAUGGAAAAGGACUUGGGAAAUUUCCAGCCUCAAGAAGCAAACUUUUGCCAUGUUACGUUGGGAAUGCGAGAAAUGCAGAGUCAGUUGUCAAUUUACCGACGUUUUAGAUCAAACUUAACUCACUGGGACUGGAUUGUGAACAGGGCACAGUAAAUCUCCACCAUAAUCUUUCGCAACAAUUGCUUGAUUCUGUACAUAGAAAAACAUGAGAUGUGAAGUCCCCUCUUUCUUGGUCUAGAGGUAAUUAUUUCCUUUGCGAAAAUAUGUUCCGACCGAGAACUUUAAGGAACACUAUGGCCAUAGGGCCCCAUUUGCAUAAGAAUAUUUGCAAAGAGGACCCAUCAAACAUGCCAUUAUUGUCAAUUUGUACAUUUUACUCUCCCAUCAUCCCCAUUCAAUCGAUUGAUGGGACCGUGAUGACCCUAUUACCAUACUGUAACGUCUAACGAGUCAUUAAUGGUAUAUGGACCUUUUUUUUUUUUUUACUGCAUUUUAUUGUAUUGUUUUUUAUGAUUAAUUUUUGUCUGUUUCAAGAGCGAGAAGCAAAUUAUAGUGUUCUUAUACAAAUUUGGAGUCAGAUAAAGAGGACGAUGAAUGCCAGUGUUCCAAAACUCGGAAACUUGCCUUGAAUCGCUAAUGGAUGCUAUUUCCUAUUUUUCUUGGUCAUCUAGAUUCAAUCAGUAUCACUCAUUUUCAAGCUGAUUUGGGUUCGAUUUCAUACCAUGAUUCUUUUACUGAAGGGCAAAUACGUAUGGAGCACGUAUAACUAUGCUCUUUGCGGGGGCAUGCUGUGCAGAAGCACCUUUAUUCCAAAGAUCCAUUUGGAAGAAAUAUUCGGUCUAAAAUUUCGGGAACCAUUUAAGAAUCACUGGAUAAUUAUUUUAAAAGAAAAAAGUUUGAAUUUUGAGUUUGUUUUUGACUGUUGGAUCUUGUCUUUCAAAAAUUGGACGGUCUCUAUUCAAUUGUGAAACAUUAUUUUCUUCUGGUGCACAGAGUUCAAUUGGGAUUUUUCAUUUUUAGUAAGGUUAGUGUGCUGGUUGAAGAGGUUGCAUCUUCAAAAUUUGGAAUCCUAAAAUUACUCAUAUAUUGGGUUUUGUUGGUUGGAUUCCUAAAAUUACUUUUAUAUUGGGUUUUAUACUCUUAUAUUGGGUUUUAUUGGGGGGAGUGAAUAGACACUUACUUUUGCAAGACUAUAAAAUCUUUUAGCUAUAUAUAGAGUACAGUGAGAGUAGUUUACCUUACAAGGAGACCACAAUUCCUCUUCUACUUCUUAGAUGUCAAAUUAAAUAGAAUUGUCAAAUUGGAUAGAAUUGUGCUGGUUAGAAAGUCCGGAAUUUUUUUUUUUGAACUUUGAGGCUUUUCAAUGACACUUUCACAACCACUUAAUUUGAAAUUCAAAAAGAUAAAAGUGAUUGUGAUAUUUUUGCACAAAAAGUAAAUGAUCAUCUUGUAUAUUUUUUCAUAUAUAUAUAAAUAUAUAUAAUGUGUAUAUAAAGUUGAUAACCCUAAAUAACAAAAAAAAACUAUGAUGCAUCUCAAAAACUCACUAGAAGAAGAGAUUUUUGUCUAUCCCUGGCUUGGAGUCCAGGUGCAAUGAACCUAAGAGAGAGAAAAUUAGCUGCUCCCAAAUUUUCACCUUGCGGUUCAUUGAAUUAAUAAUUGGGCCAGGUAGUUGAAGGAUUAUGGUUAGUGAUUUUGUCUAUUCGUGGCUUGGGAGUCCAGGUGCAAUGUACCCAAACCAUGGGACUUUUCCAAUUAGAAAUUUAGUCCAUUUAAUGUUUUGUUUUUGCUUAUAAUAUCUGUUAUUAGAGAUUAAGUCGGCUUAUAGUCUCUGUCAUUAGAAAAAUUUAAUUUUUCGUAAGUCUCUGUCACUCCUAUGGGUACACGAUAAACAAGAGAGACGUAUGCUAAUGGAGCUCUGCCAUCCCUUAAAAAGUUAAAACACCUCCUCAACAUGCAGGAAACCCACAUGCACCUCCAGGGCCUUCAUCCUCAAGAGCUUUUAAAGUGAGAGAAAGGUCUCCGGGUAAGAGAAAAUCAAGAGAUUUUGCAGUGAGAGAGUGAGAAACCUCAGAAUUCAUUAUGGGUCUGGAAUCGAAACCUUUUGACAUGGACCCAGCCUUCAUCCAAGCCCCUGAGCACAGGCCCUCAGCCAUCUCUCACCAAUUUGCAGAAGGUGUCCCCAUAAUUGACCUCUCUCCUCUCUUGUCGCCCGAUUCCAAGAAAUCGAACCUUCUCUCUAUAGAAUUUAUAGAUCCUGCGACUCUCUCAAGUUUGGUGGAUAAAAUCAAACAUGGGUGCAAAGACUGGGGUUUCUUCCAAGUCAUAAACC